AGACAGAGGGAGCUACUUUAUCAAAGGAGUGGCAGCUGAAAAUAAGAACAAAGAAGAUUUUGAAUUCCUGUUGGAAGAAGGUGAAUUCGAGAUGGCUGAGUGUGAGUUAAUUGCCUCUGAGCAUUUCUAGAACUGCUGCUUGUACAUCUUACUCCUGGAAGGAUCCCUAAUCCUGACAACUGGAAUUGUUUCAAACUAUGUUAUCAAAUAGGACCACUUCUCUGGAAUCCAUAUCCUUCAUAUCAGAUGACUCCUCCUGUCACCAGAAACAGCACCUGCACCUGACAAAAUGAUGGAAAUCCUGGACCACAGAGCUUCUCCACCUCUGCUUACUCCACUACUCUGUUUUCUGUGUUUGUUAUGUCACCUCCCUUUCUUAGUCGACCCACUCUCAUAGCCCUUUAAAAUUUCACUUUUAGAGAUU